UACGAAGGGGGCUAGCGUUGCUCGGAAUUACUGGGCGUAAAGCGCACGUAGGCGGCUUCUUAAGUCGGUGGUGAAAUCCUGGAGCUCAACUCCAGAACUGCCUUCGAUACUGGGAGCUCGAGUCCGGGAGAGGUGAGUGGAACUGCGAGUGUAGAGGUGAAAUUCGUAGAUAUUCGCAAGAACACCAGUGGCGAAGGCGGCUCACUGGCCCGGUACUGACGCUGAGGUGGCGAAAGCGU
rnacentral:rRNA from 1 species